CAUUCUCUCCUCUGGUUAAAUCUCAUUGUUUCCCUCAGAUGUGGUUUCUGACUGUCACUUAAUUGGUGUGACUAAUUCUUUUACAGAUCCUGGAAAAGAGAAAGAAUCAAAAUCUCCAGCUGCCACAAAAGAUAAAGAUUCCCUGAAAGGAAAAAAUCCCAGGAAUCCAGAGAGCUUAAAAGAAAAAGAGACUGGUAAAAGAAAAGAUGUAAAGCCUCCAGCAGCCUUAAAGGAGAAAGACUCUUCAAAACGAAAAGAAAUUAAGGCUUCAACUAAUCCUAAGGAAAAAGCUGCAGUGAAAAAGGAGGGGGAGAAGAAAGCUACCUCAGAGAACCCUCAUGAACACAAGCAUGAACGUGUUAAACGUGAAAAAGCUGUCUCUCAGACUAAGCCAGAGGAGAAAAUGAAACAACAAAAGGCAACUCCCACUGAGAAGUCAGCUCAGGCAAAGUCAGCAAAGCAUGAAACAGUCAGACAUGAAAAAGAUGUUCCCCUUACAAAACCAGUCAAACCGAAAAACACUGCAAAGCCAACAGCUGAAAUCCCGACAUCAGCCACAAAAAAACCAAAGACAACUAAGGAAAAAGAAGGUAGGAAUUUACUCCAUGUGUUCAUAUAG
rnacentral:lncRNA from 1 species